AGGGGGUUUCCGCCCCUUAGUGCUGCAGCUAACGCAUUAAGCACUCCGCCUGGGGAGUACGGUCGCAAGACUGAAACUCAAAGGAAUUGACGGGGGCCCGCACAAGCGGUGGAGCAUGUGGUUUAAUUCGAAGCAACGCGAAGAACCUUACCAGGUCUUGACAUCCUCUGACAAUCCUAGAGAUAGGACGUCCCCUUCGGGGGCAGAGUGACAGGUGGUGCAUGGUUGUCGUCAGCUCGUGUCGUGAGAUGUUGGGUUAAGUCCCGCAACGAGCGCAACCCUUGAUCUUAGUUGCCAGCAUUCAGUUGGGCACUCUAAGGUGACUGCCGGUGACAAACCGGAGGAAGGUGGGGAUGACGUCAAAUCAUCAUGCCCCUUAUGACCUGGGCUACACACGUGCUACAAUGGACAGAACAAAGG
rnacentral:rRNA from 1 species